GACGAACGCUGGCGGCGUGCCUAACACAUGCAAGUCGUACGGGACCGGGGGCAACUCCGGUUCAGUGGCAGACGGGUGCGUAACACGUGAGGAACCUGUCCGGUGGCGGGGGAUAGCCGGCCCAACGGCCGGGUAAUACCGCAUACGCUCGUUCGGGGGCAUCCCUGGGCGAGGAAAGCAGCCGCAAGGUUGCGCCGACGGAGGGCCUCGCGACCUAUCAGCUUGUUGGCGGGGUAACGGCCCACCAAGGCGACGACGGGUAGCUGGUCUGAGAGGAUGAUCAGCCACAUUGGGACUGAGACACGGCCCAGACUCCUACGGGAGGCAGCAGUGGGGAAUAUUGCGCAAUGGCCGCAAGGCUGACGCAGCGACGCCGCGUGUGGGAUGACGGUCUUCGGAUUGUAAAGCACUUUC
rnacentral:rRNA from 1 species